UAAGGAAUAUUGGUCAAUGGACGCAAGUCUGAACCAGCCAUGCCGCGUGAAGGAUGAAGGUCCUCUGGAUUGUAAACUUCUUUUAUCUGGGACGAAAAAAGCUCAUUCUUGAGCACUUGACGGUACCAGAAGAAUAAGCACCGGCUAACUCCGUGCCAGCAGCCGCGGUAAUACGGAGGGUGCAAGCGUUAUCCGGAUUUACUGGGUUUAAAGGGUGCGUAGGUGGAUUUGUAAGUCAGUGGUGAAAUCUCCGAGCUUAACUCGGAAACUGCCAUUGAUACUAUAAGUCUUGAAUUAUCUGGAGGUAAGCAGAAUAUGUCAUGUAGCGGUGAAAUGCUGAGAUAUGACAUAGAACACCAGUGGCGAAGGCGACUAUCUGGACCAGCACUGACACUGAGGCACGAAAGCGUGGGGAGCAAACA
rnacentral:rRNA from 1 species